GUUGAACGCUGGCGGCGUGCCUAAUACAUGCAAGUCGAGCGAACAGAUAAGGAGCUUGCUCCUUUGACGUUAGCGGCGGACGGGUGAGUAACACGUGGGUAACCUACCUAUAAGACUGGAAUAACUCCGGGAAACCGGGGCUAAUGCCGGAUAACAUUUAGAACCGCAUGGUUCUAAAGUGAAAGAUGGUUUUGCUAUCACUUAUAGAUGGACCCGCGCCGUAUUAGCUAGUUGGUAAGGUAACGGCUUACCAAGGCAACGAUACGUAGCCGACCUGAGAGGGUGAUCGGCCACACUGGAACUGAGACACGGUCCAGACUCCUACGGGAGGCAGCAGUAGGGAAUCUUCCGCAAUGGGCGAAAGCCUGACGGAGCAACGCCGCGUGAGUGAUGAAGGUCUUCGGAUCGUAAAACUCUGUUAUUAGGGAAGAACAAAUGUGUAAGUAACUGUGCACGUCUUGACGGUACCUAAUCAGAAAGCCACGGCUAACUACGUG
rnacentral:rRNA from 1 species